rnacentral:rRNA from 1 species
AGACCCGAAACCCGGUGAUCUAGCCAUGGGCAGGUUGAAGGUUGGGUAACACUAACUGGAGGACCGAACCGACUAAUGUUGAAAAAUUAGCGGAUGACCUGUGGCUGGGGGUGAAAGGCCAAUCAAACCGGGAGAUAGCUGGUUCUCCCCGAAAGCUAUUUAGGUAGCGCCUCGUGAAUUCAUCUCCGGGGGUAGAGCACUGUUUCGGCUAGGGGGCCAUCCCGGCUUACCAACCCGAUGCAAACUGCGAAUACCGGAGAAUGUUAUCACGGGAGACACACGGCGGGUGCUAACGUCCGUCGUGAAGAGGGAAACAACCCAGACCGCCAGCUAAGGUCCCAAAGUCAUGGUUAAGUGGGAAACGAUGUGGGAAGGCCCAGACAGCCAGGAUGUUGGCUUAGAAGCAGCCAUCAUUUAAAGAAAGCGUAAUAGCUCACUGGUCGAGUCGGCCUGCGCGGAAGAUGUAACGGGGCUAAACCAUGCACCGAAGCUGCGGCAGCGAACGUAUCACCCAAGACAACUUUACGGAGUUGACGAUUGACGGAGCGAAGCGACGUCAAAGCGUUCAUUAAAGUCGAGUUGGCUUAGGGAUACGUUCGUUGGGUAGGGGAGCGUUCUGUAAGCCUGUGAAGGUGUGUCGUGAGGCAUGCUGGAGGUAUCAGAAGUGCGAAUGCUGACAUAAGUAACGAUAAAGCGGGUGAAAAGCCCGCUCGCCGGAAGACCAAGGGUUCCUGUCCAACGUUAAUCGGGGCAGGGUGAGUCGACCCCUAAGGCGAGGCCGAAAGGCGUAGUCGAUGGGAAACGGGUUAAUAUUCCCGUACUUGGUGUUACUGCGAAGGGGGGACGGAGAAGGCUAUGUUGGCCGGGCGACGGUUGUCCCGGUUUAAGCGUGUAGGCUGGUUUUCCAGGCAAAUCCGGAAAAUCAAGGCUG